GAGGAUAAGGCGGCCUGCUAUACAUGCAGUCGAGCGGACAGAUGGGAGCUUGCUCCCUGAUGUUAGCGGCGGACGGGUGAGUAACACGUGGGUAACCUGCCUGUAAGACUGGGAUAACUCCGGGAAACCGGGGCUAAUACCGGAUGGUUGUUUGAACCGCAUGGUUCAAACAUAAAAGGUGGCUUCGGCUACCACUUACAGAUGGACCCGCGGCGCAUUAGCUAGUUGGUGAGGUAAUGGCUCACCAAGGCAACGAUGCGUAGCCGACCUGAGAGGGUGAUCGGCCACACUGGGACUGAGACACGGCCCAGACUCCUACGGGAGGCAGCAGUAGGGAAUCUUCCGCAAUGGACGAAAGUCUGACGGAGCAACGCCGCGUGAGUGAUGAAGGUUUUCGGAUCGUAAAGCUCUGUUGUUAGGGAAGAACAAGUGCCGUUCGAAUAGGGCGGCACCUUGACGGUACCUAACCAGAAAGCCACGGCUAACUACGUGCCAGCAGCCGCGGUAAUACGUAGGUGGCAAGCGUUGUCCGGAAUUAUUGGGCGUAAAGGGCUCGCAGGCGGUUUCUUAAGUCUGAUGUGAAAGCCCCCGGCUCAACCGGGGAGGGUCAUUGGAAACUGGGGAACUUGAGUGCAGAAGAGGAGAGUGGAAUUCCACGUGUAGCGGUGAAAUGCGUAGAGAUGUGGAGGAACACCAGUGGCGAAGGCGACUCUCUGGUCUGUAACUGACGCUGAGGAGCGAAAGCGUGGGGAGCGAACAGGAUUAGAUACCCUGGUAGUCCACGCCGUAAACGAUGAGUGCUAAGUGUUAUGGGGUUUCCGCCCCUUAGUGCUGCAGCUAACGCAUUAAGCACUCCGCCUGGGGAGUACGGUCGCAAGACUGAAACUCAAAGGAAUUGACGGGGGCCCGCACAAGCGGUGGAGCAUGUGGUUUAUUCGAAGCAACGCGAAGAACCUUACCAGGUCUUGACAUCCUCUGACAAUCCUAGAGAUAGGACGUCCCCUUCGGGGGCAGAGUGACAGGUGGUGCAUGGUUGUCGUCAGCUCGUGGU
rnacentral:rRNA from 1 species